GUUUUCAGACGGACAAAAUGCAUAGGGUUACAACAGAAACCCGUGGUACUGACCUAGAAGUAGGACUUACAUGUGAGGAGGUCAUGUAUGUUUCAGGGAAGCAUGAACAGAAGCGGCAGGUCUAAUGGCUAAUUUCACACUCUUAAGGACUGGAAGUGACCUUGGGAGGAUUUGAUUUCUAGUGAGAGCCAUCAGGUGGCUCAGUUGGUUGGAGCGUCGUCCUGUGCAGCAAAGGAUGGAGGGUUCAAUUCCUGGUCAGAGCACUUACCUAGGUUUCGGGUUCAAUCCCCGGAUGGGAGACAACCAGUCAAUACUUCUCUUUCACAUUGAUGUUUCUCAAUGAAAGCAUGUCCUCGGCGAGGAUAAAAAAAUUCCUUUCUGGGAUCAGUCUAGUUUCAUAUAACUUUUUGUUGCCUCAACUGUACUGAAAAUAAAAUUGAAUAUGCUAAAAUUGCA